rnacentral:sRNA from 1 species
UCGUGGGUUCGUUCCCCACCAGGGAUGCCA